GGGUCGUUAGCUCAGUUGGUAGAGCAGUUGGCUUUUAACCAAUUGGUCGCUGGUUCGAGCCCAGCACGGCCCA
rnacentral:tRNA from 1 species